rnacentral:lncRNA from 1 species
CAUGGGUAAUCGUCCAUCUGUCUCCAAACGACCCUCAUCCUAGUUCACCCUAUUCAUUGUUUAUCAAAUAGGAGUCAUAUUUUGUUAUCUCCAAAAUAUAUCAAUGGGUUUUGGAUAAAUCGUUACAAACUUUAUUUUAUUCAUGGAUGAUUGUUUUAUAGUGAAAUGAAAAUAAUUAUUUUGUUAUAAUUUAUAAUUUUUAGCUAACCUUUUCUUUAGAAUUCAUUUGUAGGUGCUGCAUGAGUGAU